UGGGGAAUAUUGGACAAUGGGCGCAAGCCUGAUCCAGCAAUGCCGCGUGUGUGAAGAAGGCCUUCGGGUUGUAAAGCACUUUUAUCAGGAGCGAAAUACGAUGGGCUAAUACCCCGUCGGGCUGACGGUACCUGAGGAAUAAGCACCGGCUAACUUCGUGCCAGCAGCCGCGGUAAUACGAAGGGUGCAAGCGUUAAUCGGAAUUACUGGGCGUAAAGCGUGCGUAGGCGGUGAUUUAAGUCUGCUGUGAAAUCCCCGGGCUCAACCUGGGAAUGGCAGUGGAUACUGGAUCGCUAGAGUGUGAUAGAGGAUGGUGGAAUUCCCGGUGUAGCGGUGAAAUGCGUAGAGAUCGGGAGGAACAUCAGUGGCGAAGGCGGCCAUCUGGAUCAACACUGACGCUGAGGCACGAAAGCGUGGGGAGCAAACAGG
rnacentral:rRNA from 2 species